rnacentral:rRNA from 1 species
CGCACGGGUGAGUAACACGUAUCCAACCUGCCGUCUACUCUUGGACAGCCUUCUGAAAGGAAGAUUAAUACAAGAUGGCAUCAUGAGUCCGCAUGUUCACAUGAUUAAAGGUAUUCCGGUAGACGAUGGGGAUGCGUUCCAUUAGAUAGUAGGCGGGGUAACGGCCCACCAAGACUACGAUGGAUAGGGGUUCUGAGAGGAAGGUCCCCCACAUUGGAACUGAGACACGGUCCAAACUCCUACGGGAGGCAGCAUG